rnacentral:rRNA from 1 species
ACGGAAGGCAGCAGUGAGGAAUAUUGGUCAAUGGACGGAAGUCUGAACCAGCCAAGUCGCGUGAAGGAAGACGGUUCUAUGGAUUGUAAACUUCUUUUGCUCGAGGGUAAAGUGAGCCACGUGUGGCUUAUUGCAAGUAUCGAGUGAAUAAGCAUCGGCUAACUCCGUGCCAGCAGCCGCGGUAAUACGGAGGAUGCGAGCGUUAUCCGGAUUUAUUGGGUUUAAAGGGUGCGUAGGCGGGAUGUUAAGUCAGCGGUGAAGGUUUGCGGCUCAACCGUAAAAUUGCCGUUGAAACUGGCGUUCUUGAGUGUAAACGAGGUAGGCGGAAUGUAACGUGUAGCGGUGAAAUGCUUAGAUAUGUUACAGGACCCCGAUUGCGAAGGCAGCUUACCAGCAUACAACUGACGCUGAGGCACGAAAGCGUGGGUAUCAAACAGGAUUAGAUACCCUGGUA